CCGUGUGGUUAGUCAGUAGUGGGGACAAGGUACAACAAAAACAUAAGUCUCAGAACACUGAAAAAUGGUAACAAUUUCCAUCUGAGGUUUGCCUAAAGACCAUCUGAGGUUUGCCUAAAGACCAUCUGAGGUUUGCCUAAAGACCAUCUGAGGUUUGCCUAAAGACCAUCUGAGGUUUGCCUAAAGACCAUCUGAGGUUUGCCUAAAGACCAUCUGAGGUUUGCCUAAAGACCAUCUGAGGUUUGCCUAAAGACCAUCUGAGGUUUGCCUAAAGACCAUCUGAGGUUUGCCUAAAGACCAUCUGAGGUUUGCCUAAAGACCAUCUAAGGUUUGCCUAAAGACCAUCUGAGGUUUGCCUAAAGACCAUCUGAGGUUUGCCUAAAGACCAUCUGAGGUUUGCCUAAAGACCAUCUGAGGUUUGCCUAAAGACCAUCUGAGGUUUGCCUAAAGACCAUCUGAGGUUUGCCUAAAGACCAUCUGAGGUUUGCCUAAAGACCAUCUAAGGUUUGCCUAAAGACCAUCUGAGGUUUGCCUAAAGACCAUCUAAGGUUUGCCUAAAGACCAUCUGAGGUUUGCCUAAAGACCAUCUCAGAUUAACAAACUCACGACCUGGCGGAUCGCUCCGAUUUGAUCCGUGAUGUCUCUCCCUGGGGGAAGUCAUCUUGUGUGUCAGUGGCAAAAUGUGCUGAUGGAGGGAAACUGCGUGUCUGUCUGGGUCAGGAGAUUCCUCAGCCUUGAGUUGCAAACGGCCCCCUUUUGGCCUUCAGAACAUCCUAAAUUCUUCAGGUCAUGGACUCUACAAGGUGUCGAAAGCGUUCCACAGGGAACGCAUGGCCCA